AACCUUCAACCCCUUUAGUUCAAUCACUCAUUCUUCUGUAUCUAGGGUUUUAUUUGUUUUUAUUUUUAUUCGAUUUAUUUGUUUAAUUAAUUUCAUUGGCCUAUGAUUAAAAUUUAUCAAUAUAGACAAGCAUAUGUCUGAAUUAUUCAUCAUGUUGUAAGCCUAAUCUUCUCUAUGAGGCCAAUUUUAAUUUUUUUUUUCAAUAAUUUUUUUAAAAAAAUUGUUUUUUUGCUGUAUUUAUUGAUGUAUUAAAUGAGUCAUAUGAUGAUUAGAAGCAUAGUUCAAAUGAAAUCUCUUUGAUUAUAAAAUUUCUUUAUAGUCUUUCGCUCCUAUCUGAUGACUCAAUUUCAUUUGUGUUAAAAAUUCAAUUUUUAGUUAAUUUAGUGUCAAUAUUAUUUUUUUGAUAAAUUGAAAUGGUUAAUCUAUUCAAUACUCUUUUUAUUUGUGUUAAAAAAUUGAUUUUUAGGUAGUUUAUUUGUAAGUUAUUUUUUUCUUUUCACUUGUGUUAAUUAAAAAUCUGAUAUUUUAGGUGAUUUAUUUGUAGGUUAUUUUUUUCUUUCAACUUGUGUUAGUUAAAAAUCUGACAUUUUAGGUAAUUUAUUUGUUAAUUUUAUUUUGGCAAAUUGAGAUUGAUAAUGGACAAUGACGAUUUAUAUCAUUGGUCUCGUUCGUCGUAAUGGUGUAUAAAAUCCACCUUGACGACCAUUCUGAUAUAUCACCACCCAUAAACUGAGUCGUUUAAUGUUAAUUCACUUCCUUUUUUAAUCAUAUUUGAUGUUAAUAUUAAUUAAGUAGUAUAUCAAGUGUUAAUUUUUAGCUCUUUUUAGUUUCUUAUUUAGUAGCAGUGAUGAAAAAUUCCUGUGUCGAAGACUUUUUUUGGUCUAUGAUGGUUUACACAAUCCUCUAAGAAGUUCUGAGGUAUAUCAUAUUUCCAAUUUUAGCUCAAAUGCUGUUGAUAUUUAGUUUAUUUGUUGUUAUAGUUAUUUCAUUACUUUGUGUUUUUCUAGUAGUAAUAAUUUACUAUGUUGCUAGACUCUCCAAAAAUGAUGUUGGACCUCUGUUGGCAUUUUUGAAUAGUUAAGUAAUGUGGAUAAUUUAUGUCUGACAAGGAAUGAAGUGAUGAUAGAAUUCAUAAGUCUGUCUAUCCACUGAAAUACAUUUUUAUGAUGUAAAGGGUGAAUCCCGACAGGUUCUGAUCAUUCAAAAUAAUUAAUCCUUUAUUAACUGUGAUUUUUUUGCACUUUUAUUUUAUAAAUUUAUAGUUUUAUGGGCAUAGGAUGAAAUCUUUUAUAUCGUAAAUGGGUAAUUUGCGUCUGAAUCUUUCAUUGAUGCUAUCACCUUGGAGAACUGAUGCCCUUUAAUCUGUUGUUUUAGUUGACACUUCAAAAAUGUCAAUGGGUGCGUGUUGGAUUCUGAUUAGUGUGUUUUUGGAGAAUCCAACAUGAGUUUCAUGUUCAUGGAUUUCAAAUUUAUUCAUUUUGUUGCAUUUAGUUAUGAUGAAAGCCAAUUUGCAGAGCAAGGGUGUCUUUCAAAAAUGACAAAACACUUGCAUUGAAGGUUGGCGAUAUCUUUAGCGAUUCUCCGUGCCUUUCAAACUUUUUUUGUAUUGAUUACGGCCUCGAACAAAUCGCUACAUUCCACCCCAUACCCCACCCCCAUCAAUUAUUAUGGUGCAAUAUUCUCUAUAGAGUGGAUAUGUUCAUAUUUCUCAGCUGAACUUAGUUUGGCACGUUUUCUUUACGGUGCUCAGAUUGGCGCCAUUGAUGACAGAACGUUGUGAUUUCAAGUUGUUUAGGUAUACAUUUUAAGUUUACUUUUAUCUAAAAUAGCUUCAAUUUAUAUGAUCAUCAGAGUCUUUGACAGGAAUGCUUGUGUAGUUAGGUACCUCGAAGAUCUCCUAGUAGGAGUCUUUGGCUAAUCCAUUAUAACAGUGGUGAACUCUGUUAGAUGUUUGUUGGGUUCUAUUUCUGCUUUUUGGAUUUUUGUCAGAUAUAUUUGUUUUAAUAUCCUUGGCCAAUGAUUAAAUUUCUAUUAUAGACAAGCAUAUGACUGAAUUUUCAUCAUGUUGAAAGCCUAAUCUUCUCUAUGAGGCCACUCAUAUUUUUCCUUUUUUCCCUUACCCCUAAGGUAGUGGUACAGACUAUGUACUCUUUUGCCCCCCAGAUCCCACUUUGUGGGAAUAUUUUGUGUAUGUUGUUAUGGUUAUUCUUAAUUGAAAAAAAAUGCUCUUUCAUUGGUGUUAUUACUUAAUUAAAUGGGUCAUAUGAUGAUUAGAAGCAUAGUUCAAAUGAAACCUUGGUGAUUAUAAAACUUCUUUUAGUCUUUCGCUCCUAUCUGAUGACUCCUUAAUUCUGUUGAAAAUAUGUUUUUUGGGGUACUUUAUAUUGUUUUUUGAAAAGUUGAAAUGAUUAAUGGACUGUGACGACUUAUAUCAUUGGUCUCGUUCGUCGUAAUGGUGUUAAAUCCACCUUGACGACCAUUCUGAUAUAUCACCACCCAUAAACUGAGUCCUAUAAUUAAACUUUUUACUUACUUUCCUAGUGUAGUUGGUGUUAAUUUUGCAAUAACAUGAGUAUUAUAUAUAUGUAUGUGUGUGCGCGCGCGCCUGUAUGCGUAUAUGUAUGUGUAUAUAUGUAUACAUAUAUGUAUAUAUCGUGCUGUGAUGAAAAAUGUUUGUGUCGGAGACUUUUGGUCUGUGAUGGCUUACACUACCCUCUAAGAAGUUCUGAGCACUUGUGUUUUUCAAGUUUCAACGCAAAUAUUUUCUGUGUAGUGUCUUUUAUCUGUUGUAAGUACUCUGAUUUUCUUUAAAAUACUUGCAUUGUUAAUUUCUGUUAGAGGUUGAACGAAGUGAUGAUAGAAUUCAUAAGUCUGUCAAUCCACUGAAAUACAUUUUAUGAUGUAAAGAGUGAAUCCCGACAGGUUCUGAUCGUUCAAAUUAAUUAUAGUCUUCCAUUAAUAUGUCCCUUUUUGUUUAUUCUUUUUUUUUUUAAAAAAAAACGUUGAAAUUUUAUGGGCAUAUGAUGAAAUUUUAUAUAUCGUAAAUGGGUAAUUUGCGUCUGAAUCUUUCAUUGAUGCUGUCACCUUGGAGAGCUGAUGCCCUUUAACUUUUUGACUUUGUAUUUAAAAGACAUUGUUGGGACGGGAAAUGUUGGAUGAUGGGGAGGGGAUAGAGUGCAUAUAGUCAUUUGUUAAACUUACAGGAGAACGUAAUUGCCAAAAGAAACUCAUUUCUUGCCAAUUCCAUCUAUAUUUUGUUGAUAUUGAGUUAUGUCAUUCUUGGUUAUAUAUUUAUGUCUUAAAUUUGUGGUCCUUUUAAUUACUUAUAAAGAUUAUCUUUCCAUUUAUGUUGCUGUGAUGAAAAAUUCUUGUGUCGGAGACGUCGAUCUGUGAUGGCUUACACAACCCUCUAAGAAGUUCUGAGCACAAACUUUUUUUUCCCAAUUUCUACUCACAUGUUUCUUUCGUUUUUCUUUAAAUUUUCUCCUCCAUUUCGAGGAGGAAUAAGUUAUUACAGAAUUUUCAAGUAUUUGAACCAGCAGUUCUUGUAAUUCAUCUCGAUCUGCGAAUAACUUCAUGGCCUGCGCCAAGCGUCUAUGAUAGGGAACCUCUAGGCAUCCAAGAGGUUCCAUCUGAGCCAAUGAUGGCUAUAUUUGAUCCAUCUUUGCUUUUGCUGAGGUUUCUUAUCAGCAGUAUGGCUUAAUUUUGUGUCUUUGGCAAAGAGAAAAUGAUGGGGUAUUUAUUGUCAUCUGAAUUGCAUCCCAAUAUUUGGAUGCAAAAGUAGUGAUCGACGUAUUAUAUCUGAUUCUCUCUUGGCCAACCUCCCUUCAGUCGAGGAUGCAAAAUUAGUGAUCGACGUAUUAUAUCUGAUGCAAAAUUUUGCGUUCGAGACUUUUGGUCUGUUGACAACACUACCGUUUAAGAAGCUCUGAGCACUCUAUUUUUCUGCAUAAAAAUUGGAAAAUUUUACUAUGGCUCAUGAGUACCACGUAAUAGCCGUGGGAUGUUAUUUUUAAGGGAAAAAGGGUCAAAAAUAUCCUUCUACUUUGAUUAAUUGGUUAAUUUUAACCCUUUGUGAUAGUAUGAUGUUAAAUUUACUAAAUAAAAUUGUUACAAUGAACUUAAUUAACUUAAUCUUCUUCCCUAACACACUCAUUUUCCCCAAAUCAACUGUCAC
rnacentral:lncRNA from 1 species